rnacentral:rRNA from 1 species
AUUGAACGCUGGCGGCAUGCUUUACACAUGCAAGUCGAACGGUAACAGGCCUUCGGGUGCUGACGAGUGGCGCACGGGGGAGUAAUGCAUCGGAACGUGCCCAGAGGUGGGGGAUAACGCAGCGAAAGCUGUGCUAAUACCGCAUGUGAUCUGAGGAUGAAAGCGGGGGACCAAGCAGCAAUGUUUGGCCUCGCGCCUCUGGAGCGGCCGAUGUCAGAUUAGGUAGUUGGUGGGGUAAAGGCCUACCAAGCCGACGAUCUGUAGCUGGUCUGAGAGGACGACCAGCCACACUGGGACUGAGACACGGCCCAGACUCCUACGGGAGGCAGCAGUGGGGAAUUUUGGACAAUGGGCGCGAGCCUGAUCCAGCAAUGCCGCGUGCGGGAAGAAGGCCUUCGGAUUGUAAACCGCUUUUGUACGGAACGAAAAGGAUCUGGCUAAUACCUGGGGCUGAUGACGGUACCGUAAGAAUAAGCACCGGCUAACUACGUG